UACAGAGGGGGCAAGCGUUGUUCGGAAUUACUGGGCGUAAAGGGCGCGUAGGCGGCCUGCUAAGUCGAACGUGAAAUCCCUGGGCUCAACCCAGGAACUGCGUCCGAUACUGGUUGGCUUGAAUCCGGGAGAGGGAUGUGGAAUUCCAGGUGUAGCGGUGAAAUGCGUAGAGAUCGGGAGGAAGGCCGGUGGCGAAGGCGGCGCUCUGGAACAUUUCUGACGCUGAGGCUCGAAAGCGUGGGGAGCAAACAGG
rnacentral:rRNA from 1 species